rnacentral:rRNA from 2 species
CUAGUGAUUAGAGUUUGAUCAUGGCUCAGGAUGAACGCUAGCGGCAGGCUUAAUACAUGCAAGUCGAGGGGCAGCACGGGUAGCAAUAUCUGGUGGCGACCGGCGCACGGGUGCGUAACACGUAUACAAUCUACCCUUAACAGGGGGAUAGCCCUCCGAAAGGAGGAUUAAUACCCCAUAAUAAAUUGAAUGGCAUCAUUUGAUUUUGAAAGUUCCGACGGUUAAGGAUGAGUAUGCGUCUGAUUAGCUAGUUGGUGAGGUAAAGGCUCACCAAGGCAACGAUCAGUAGGGGAUCUGAGAGGACUACCCCCCACACUGGUACUGAGACACGGACCAGACUCCUACGGGAGGCAGCAGUAAGGAAUAUUGGUCAAUGGAGGCAACUCUGAACCAGCCAUGCCGCGUGCAGGAAGACGGCCCUAUGGGUUGUAAACUGCUUUUGUACGGGAGAAAACCCUUUCACGUGUGAGAGGUUGAUAGUACCGUAAGAAUAAGCAUCGGCUAACUUCGUGCCAGCAGCCGCGGUAAGACGAAGGAUGCAAGCGUUAUCCGGAUUCAUUGGGUUUAAAGGGAGCGUAGGUGGACUUGUAAGUCAGUGGUGAAAUCUCUCAGCUUAACUGAGAAACUGCCAUUGAUACUGCAGGUCUUGAGUACAGAUGAUGUGGGCGGAAUAUGACAUGUAGUGGUGAAAUACUUAGAUAUGUCAUAGAACACCGAUUGCGAAGGCAGCUCACAAAACUGUAACUGACACUGAGGCUCGAAAGUGCGGGGAUCAAACAGGAUUAGAUACCCUGGUAGUCCGCACCGUAAACGAUGAUUACUCGUUGUUAGCGAUAUGACAGUUAGCGACCAAGCGAAAGCGAUAAGUAGUCCACCUGGGGAGUACGCCGGCAACGGUGAAACUCAAAGGAAUUGACGGGGGCCCGCACAAGCGGAGGAGCAUGUGGUUUAAUUCGAUGAUACGCGAGGAACCUUACCUGGGCUUGAAAGUUAGUGACCGUCUCUGAAAGGAGAUUUUCCGCAAGGACACGAAACUAGGUGCUGCAUGGCUGUCGUCAGCUCGUGCCGUGAGGUGUUGGGUUAAGUCCCGCAACGAGCGCAACCCCUACCAUUAGUUACCAGCGAGUAAUGUCGGGAACUCUAAUGGAACUGCCCGUGCAAACGGUGAGGAAGGUGGGGAUGACGUCAAGUCAUCACGGCCCUUACGUCCAGGGCUACACACGUGCUACAAUGGCCGGUACAACGGGCAGCUACACAGCGAUGUGAUGCUAAUCUCUAAAAACCGGUCUCAGUUCGGAUUGAAGUCUGCAACUCGACUUCAUGAAGCUGGAUUCGCUAGUAAUCGCGCAUCAGCAAUGGCGCGGUGAAUACGUUACCGGGCCUUGUAGACACCGCCC